rnacentral:rRNA from 1 species
AGAGUUUGAUCCUGGCUCAGAUUGAACGCUAGCGGCAUGCUUAACACAUGCAAGUCGAACGGCAGCGGGGAGAAGCUUGCUUCUCUGCCGGCGAGUGGCGGACGGGUGAGUAACGCGUAGGAAUCUACCUUAUAGUGGGGGACAACCAGGGGAAACUCUGGCUAAUACCGCAUAAUCUCUACGGAGGAAAGAGGGCCUCUUCUUGAAAGCUCUCGCUAUUAGAUGAGCCUGCGUCGGAUUAGCUAGUUGGUGGGGUAAAGGCCUACCAAGGCGACGAUCCGUAGCUGGUCUGAGAGGACGAUCAGCCACACUGGGACUGAGACACGGCCCAGACUCCUACGGGAGGCAGCAGUGGGGAAUAUUGGACAAUGGGCGAAAGCCUGAUCCAGCAAUGCCGCGUGUGUGAAGAAGGCCUUCGGGUUGUAAAGCACUUUCAGCGGGGAAGAAAGGCUCAAGGCUAAUACCUUUGAGAGUUGACGUACCCGCAGAAGAAG